AAUAGAUACCCAGGUAGUCCACGCCGUAAACGAUGAGUGCUAAGUGUUAGGGGGUUUCCGCCCCUUAGUGCUGCAGCUAACGCAUUAAGCACUCCGCCUGGGGAGUACGGUCGCAAGACUGAAACUCAAAGGAAUUGACGGGGGCCCGCACAAGCGGUGGAGCAUGUGGUUUAAUUCGAAGCAACGCGAAGAACCUUACCAGGUCUUGACAUCCCAUUGACCACUAUGGAGACAUAGUUUUCCCUUCGGGGACAACGGUGACAGGUGGUGCAUGGUUGUCGUCAGCUCGUGUCGUGAGAUGUUGGGUUAAGUCCCGCAACGAGCGCAACCCUUGUUCUUAGUUGCCAUCAUUUAGUUGGGCACUCUAAGGAGACUGCCGGUGACAAACCGGAGGAAGGUGGGGAUGACGUCAAAUCAUCAUGCCCCUUAUGACCUGGGCUACACACGUGCUACAAUGGACGGUACAAACGGUUGCCAACCCGCGAGGGGGAGCUAAUCCGAUAAAACCGUUCUCAGUUCGGAUUGUAGGCUGCAACUCGCCUACAUGGAACG
rnacentral:rRNA from 1 species